ensembl:misc_RNA Y_RNA Y RNA
GGCCGGUCCGAGUGCAGUGGUGUUUACAACUAAUUGAUCACAACCAGUUACAGAUUUCUUUGUUCCUUCUCCACUCCCACUGCUUCACUUGACUAGCCUUUA